rnacentral:lncRNA from 1 species
AAUUAAAAUAAUAGUCAAAUACCAUUACAUUUAUUACCAUUAAAAUAGUCACUAACAUACCAUUCAUACAUUCAAAUAUCAUUACAAUACCAUGACAAAAGCUACGAACUAGUCAUUAACAUAACAUUAAUUUAGUGUUCUAAAACAAAAAGUAAGAGCUACUUGGUGGAUUAAUGGAUGGAUUGAUUUGUUUUAUAAAGGCCGCCAAUUGUCGUUGCACUUGCAAUUCCAUAUCAUUUCGCAUUUGUUGCAUUUGCAAAUUCAUUUCACUUUGCUUUUCAUCCAUGGUUUGUUGCAUGUUUGACACUUGUUGUCGCAACUCAUGUACCUAAAUAUAGCAAGACAAACACAUGCACUUAGUAAAUGUAAUUCAACUUUAAACCAUGAUAGCAAUGUACUUUACUUUUAAUUCAAUAUAAAAACACACUGAUCAUAAUAACAAUGUACAUUGUUUUUAAUAUCCAUAAUAAUAACUUUUAAUAUGCAUAAUAAUAACAUACUAUAUUUUUAUCCAUUAUACCAUUGUACUUUACAUUUCCAAUCCAGAAUAUCAAUGUAGUUAAAUUAUUAUCAAUAACAAGAAUUUACUUUACCAAAUAUCAAUAAUAACAACAUAGUAUCAUUUUCAACCAUAAUAACAAUGCAUUUUACCUAAUAUUAAUAAUGACAACAUAUUAUAACCACCACGACUUAAUUAUAUAUUUCUUUAAUUUUUUGUUCUUAUAUUUCUUCAUUUAUUUAUAUAUGUAAGAACAGAUUGAGAUCAAGGAAUUGGUUUGAGUAAUAAGGAUGUUAAAAAAAUCAGCAUUUAUGUCUGGAGAUGGACAGAUGUAUGUGAAAAAAAUUGUUUUUUACAAUUUCUUUCUAAAGACAAAAGACAUAAAAUUGUAAAAAAAAUGUAAACUUUUUUUUUUUACAAUUCUUGCAUUAUAGGCUUGCUAAGUUUUAAAUUGGUUUAAGGCCUACAAAAGACUAUCUUUCUUUUUUUUACAAAACUUAAAAAUUUCUACUUGUGUAUUUUGUUUGACCUGCUCAUAAUCGUCUAGCAAAGCAAUCUGUUUGAUAUUCUUUAAAAGCAUACUUCAACACUUUAAAUUUACAAUAUAAAGUAUAUACUAAUACACAUCUAUUAGAAAGGGCUAGAGCAUCAAGGGUAAAGUCGUCCAAAUAGGGAAAAUUUCAAAGUUAAUUUACAAGAGCGACACAUUUUCAAAGCCAAACAACCAAAACUAAGGCAAACAUUACCAAAUCCAGAAAAAGAAACACAUGUUCAAAGCAAAACAUCAAGGGUAAAAUCGUCCAAAUAGGCAAAAUUUCAACGAUUGCAUUUGGGUAAAAUUCCAAAUCCAGAAAAAGUAACACCGGAUGGGAAAGAAUGACAUCUAGAUAAGCUAAGUAGCAAAUUGAGAAGAUGAAAAUUCCAUCCCAAAUAGGUGAAUACUUCCAUUACAGAUAUUGAUGAGUUCUAAAUCACGAAGAAGAGAAAUAUGGACAGGGUUACAGAAUUCAGAAGAGGAAAGAGUAUCUAAUUUGGAGCUUAACUUGAGCUCUGCAAAUGGACAAGUUACAGGUAUUGCUGUAGACUGAUGAUUCAAGUUCUCUGGGUCUAAAUUUGUGAAAUCUACUACAAUGGACAAGUUACAAGUAUGGAAAGCAUAGCUGAAAAAGACAAUUGAAAUCACAGAAACUGAAAUUGAUUCUCCAGGGGCAAAAUUUGUGAAAUGUGAGCAAAUUGAAAAAUCGGAGUCUUGUAAAAGUGUGAGCAAACUAAAAUCGAAAUACAUACCUGCAGGUCUCGACGAUGGGAGUGUGGGGCAGCGACGGUGGUGGUUUGGGACAGUGCCGGUGAUGGAGUGCGACAGCAACGGCUGUAGGGCAAACCUGCAACUAUUUUGUCAAUGUGGGUCGCCGAUCGGUUGCCUGGAAAUCGCAAAAGUGAAAUUGGUUACCUGAAAUUGUCGACGAUGUAGGUAUUGGUCGGGAAUCGUCACCGGGAGUGUUACAGCAAGGUCGGAAAUCAUCGGUGUUAGGCGUAGGGUUUUGUUUGAGUAAGUAAUGGAUGACUCCACGAUUAACGAUUAGAGUGGCGGGAAAUUGUAUUUUGGGAAGCGUAGCAAAUGCGUAGGUAAAAGGAUGCGUAGGAAUUCUGUAGGCAUCUCUAAU